rnacentral:rRNA from 1 species
AUGGAAGCGGCGGCGACGCAGCUUGUGUCCAUCGUCGGGCAGCUGGUGGGCGAUGAGUACCGGCAGAUCCGCCGGGUCGGUGGGCAGGUGGCUGAGCUGAGCGACGAGCUGGACACCAUGAACGCCAUCCUCCGCAUGCUGUCCGAUGCCGAGGAGGGCGCCCUUGACCACUUCGUCCGGGUGUGGAUGAAGCAGGUGCGCGAGCUCGCCUACGACGCGGAGGACUGCGUGCACCUCUACAUCCUCCGCAUCCGGUGCCGGCCGAGAGACCGCUUCUUCGUCUGGUCAAAGCGCAUUCUGGCGACGCUCUUCCCUCGCCGUCGGCUGGCUCGUGAGAUCCAGGAGCUCCGCGCUCGUGCUGUCGUGAUCAGCGAGCGCCAUGCGCGUUACGGCGUCAGCCGUGAGGCGCUACUGCGAUGCACUCCUUCUUCUUUAGCCGCUCCCACGCCCGUGCUCCGCCAUGCGCUCGGCCGGCCGGCAGCCAAAGACCCUGACCAUCUCGUGGGCAUCACCGAGCAGGCUGAUAAACUGUCCAACAUGGUGAAGGCAGUUGGUGGGAAUCUCAAGGUGUUCUCCAUCGUGGGAUUUGGUGGGCUCGGGAAGACUACACUGGCGAUAGAGGUGUGCCGGAAGCUGGAGGUGGAGUUCCCACACCAAGCGCAAGUGUCUGUGUCUCAGGCGUUCGGCGGCACAAAGGAUAUCGAGGGAUUGCUGAAGCGCGUGCUUCAGCAGAUUGUGAUGCCUAAGGCAGAUAAUGCCCAAGGCAUCAAGAUAGAGGACCCUCUAGAUGGCGUCGACAACAAGGAUGAAGGCGCCCUCACCAGGAUGCUCCACGAGCUUCUCAAGGACAAGAGGUACCUUAUUGUAGUCGAUGAUGUAUGGACGGUAGCAGCAUGGGAUGCAAUCAGAUUCAAGUUGCCAGAGAAUGAAAACGGCAGCAGGGUAAUUGUGACCACUAGGAUACAGACUGUUGCCGAAGCAUGCAGUGUUGAUGGAGAUCUUAUUCAUCAGAUGAAGUGCCUUGAUUUUGAUGAAUCCAAAAAGUUGUUUCUCAGCCGAGCAUUUGGUUCAGAGGAGGCCACUUUGCACGAUGAUCUGAGAAGUGAAAUGAACAAAAUCUUAAAAAAAUGUGGUGGGCUACCAAUGGCCAUUAUUAGCAUCGCGAACCUCUUGGCGAGCUACAAAUCAUGGGAGAGCAAAGAUAUGUGGGAAAGAGUUUGCAAGUCAAUUGGUUCUGAAAUGGAGAACAACCCUACCCUUGAGGGCAUGAGGCAAAUAGUUACUCUCAGCUAUAACCACCUGCACUAUUAUCUAAAGGGUUGCAUGAUGUACCUCAGUAUUUUCCCAGAGGAUUAUGUAAUCGUCAAGAAACGGCUGUUGAAGAGAUGGAUUGCAGAAGGAUUGGUUGCUGAGAUCCGGGGUUUGACCUUAAUGGAGACUGCAGAAGCCUACUACGACGAGUUGGUGAGUAGGAACAUGAUUGGUCCGGCUGAUGAUAUAGUCACCUGGUGGGAUGGGACGGUGGAGACAUGUCGGGUACAUGACAUAGUACUUGAGGUCAUGGUGUCCAAAUCCCUGGAGGCUAACUUUGUUAGCCUAAUAGGUGGCCCGUAUGAAGAGAUGUCGUAUGGUAGCAUGCGCCGCCUGUCCAUCCAUGGCGGAAAAGAGGUAGCAUCUGUGGAUUCGCCAUCUAACAAAAUUGCAGCAUCACAUGGUAAGAAGAAUGCGAUCGAGGGGAUGGACAUGGAGCAUGUCCGAUCAUUGAGCAUGUUUGGCCCUGAAGAUCAAAAGAAGGUGCUUGACCGUUUGUGCAAGUUCACCCUGCUCAGGGUACUUGACUUGGAAGACUGCAUGGCCAUAGAAAACAAGCAUUUGAGACAUGUCUGCCGGAUGUACCUGUUGAAGCUCUUGAAUUUGAAAGGAACAAGUAUCAGUUAUAUGCCUCCGGAAGUCGGUGACCUGGAGAAUUUGGAGACCCUUGAUGUUCGUGGGACGCAACUCGAAGAUCUACCGGAAACGGUGACAAAGCUAGAGAAACUGGAACACCUGCAAAUCAACAAGAAGGCCGACAUUUCCUUCAGCUGUUGGAAAGCAAGAAAGGGACUGGGUAGGAUGAAGGCACUACGGACGCUGAAUGUAGUAGUUUUCGAUAGUGAUGCUGAUGCCGCCGAAGAGCUCGGUGAACUACAACAAUUGGGAGAGUUGCGCAUGAACGUGGAAACUGAUCCCCUUCAUCUGGAUGUUAGGCAAAAGCUUGCCAAGUCCCUGAGCAAGAUAUAUUCCCUGCGGUGGCUGAACGUUACCGACUGUGUUAGGGACGGUCAAUAUUUGGACUUUAUACAUGACAUCAACCCACCGCCGCGGCUCCUCAGGUAUCUUAGGAUCGGCUCCGGCAUUAGCAAAUUGCCCGACUGGAUCCGGUCACUGAAUUAUCUUACAGAGCUUUUCCUUUCUUGGACAUACUUGGAUGGUGACAAACUGUUUGGCUUGCUACUAUGUGGAUAG